GUAUAUUCUGAAAAUACGACAUGUCGACAGAACUUGGAUUACACAAUUUACGGGUUUUAGAUCAGUUAGAAGAGGGGGAUAUUGUGGAAUUUCAGAAAUGGUGGUUUUCUUCCCAUUAUGGUGUUUAUGUUGGUCAUUCAGACAUCGUUCAUGUAAGGCCCUUGUCCCACGGAGAACCACUCUUCGAUAUUGCCCCGUCAUGCUUUGGUAUUGCGAAAAAAGAAAACUUUUGGAUUGUCGCCGGAACAUCAAAAGCUUAUAAACAAAACAGUGAUGGUGAAAAACUAAGACCGUUGGAUAGUCAGACAGUUGUGGAAAGGGCAAUGUCAGCAAUUGAUUCGGGAUUCGAUUACCGCCUCCACAAUAAACAAUUUACUAAUUGGUGUCGUUAUGGAACGGCUGUAGGCUCUCAGUUUGAAUCUGCUGGUUUUAUAGCAGAAGCUAUAGCUAACAUUGGAUACUAUAUUGAUACCAAUUUCCUUGGACCUCGAUAAUUGUUUUUAUUUUGUUUUUACCGACAUAAUAAAAUCUUG